UCCUUUCUCCUCUUUUCUCUCUCUUUCCUCUCCUCCCUUCUUUUCACCCUUUUCCUCAUCUUCUUAUUUCUCUUUCCUGAUUAUUCCAUAGCUUUUCAUUGAGCUCAGUGAGAAAUCAAACCCUAGCCGAGGUGCUACAGAGGUGGCCCCUGCUUGGGUUGACUGGAUUGCUAAAUGAAGGAUUAAAGUGGCUCCUCAGGAUUUUGAAAAGUAUUGUAAGGCAAGUAUGGCAAACAAGCAAAGAAAUAUCUACAUUCUCGAAAGAACUUGGAAAUGUAAGAGCCAAAUUUGUGCCAUAAUUUUUGACAUGAAAGUUGGACUUCAGUGUGCAACCAUUUUCAAAAUAAAAGUCUGAAUUCAACACGUUGCCAUCAAUCUUUCUGUCUGUUUUGUUCAUCUUUUCAUACUGAAAAGUAUUGUAUGUAUGCAAUUGGUCUGAAUCCAAUGUUACUUAUUUUUAAUCUAUUUUGUCUUUGGGAGAAAUAUGGAUAAAUUACAAGUGGUAUGUUACUUGGAUAGUGAAUGGGCUGACCCAGGAUCGAAUUCCUGGGUUGACAGUACUGUUGCAGUACUGUGUAUAUACUGAAGAUACUAUAUAAAAUAAUAUAGUGCUACUGUUCGUUCAUUGUUCAUAGGGUCCCUUGUAGGAGGAUAUCGUUUCACUCCCCUCCAGGGUUGUAAGGCAGGGGGAUUUAUUAACUUGGUUUGGUUCUUGAAAUAUUUUCUGGGUGUGCGCAUGGUAGGUAUCUAAUUGCCCCAUGUGACGUCUAAUCGAAUUAUAAAAUCUCUAUGGGUCGUUAAGCCACCGUAACUAAUGCACUUCCGUAUCUAUCAGUCCCUUGACACUCUAUUGUGGGUCGACCAUUGUCACCUUUGUCAAAAGAAAAAAAAAAAAAUCUACAAUUGGAUGAUGAGGUGUUUAUCCACUUUUAUCAA